rnacentral:rRNA from 1 species
UUGGCGGACGGGUGAGUAACGCGUGGGUAACCUGCCCUGUACAGGGGGAUAACAGCUGGAAACGGCUGUUAAUACCGCAUAAGCGCACAGGAGCGCAUGCUCCGGUGUGAAAAACUCUGGUGGUACAGGAUGGACCCGCGUCUGAUUAGCUGGUUGGCGGGGUAACGGCCCACCAAGGCAACGAUCAGUAGCCGGCCUGAGAGGGUGAACGGCCACAUUGGGACUGAGACACGGCCCAAACUCCUACGGGAGGCAGCAG